rnacentral:rRNA from 1 species
UACGGAGGGGGCAAGCGUUAUUCGGAAUUAUUGGGCGUAAAGGGCGCGUAGGCGGCUAGAUGUGUCAAAGGUGAAAUCCCUCGGCUCAACUGAGGAACUGCCUUUGAAACUGUCUGGCUUGAGGCCGGGAGAGGGUAGCGGAAUUCCCAGUGUAGCGGUGAAAUGCGUGGAUAUUGGGAGGAACACCAGUGGCGAAGGCGGCUACCUGGACCGGUUCUGACGCUGAGGCGCGAAAGCGUGGGUAGCAAACAGG